rnacentral:miRNA from 1 species
UGGAAUGGCUUCCCUUGUGUAU